AAACGACUCUCGGCAACGGAUAUCUCGGCUCUCGCAUCGAUGAAGAACGUAGCGAAAUGCGAUACUUGGUGUGAAUUGCAGAAUCCCGCGAACCAUCGAGUCUUUGAACGCAAGUUGCGCCCGAAGCCGUCCGGCCGAGGGCACGUCUGCCUGGGCGUCACGC
rnacentral:rRNA from 1 species